GAGCGAUCCAGAAGUCAGAAGCGGAGACUUGAUCCAGAUGUGCCGUCUGAUGCGGACCAAGACUCAGAUGGCUAAAGUCAAGAGGUCAUCCAACACUGACAGAAAUGGUUCUACUGUGCAGAAGAAAACUGAAAGAAGGCCCUGGUGUGAUGUGGAAUAAAAGGCAGUUUGGCGGCAGCUUGGAAAUUGUAUAACUUUGAAGAAAGUUCCUUGUAAAGACAAGUGCAUAGAGUGCAUAGAUGCAGAACCAGCACUUCAGAGCAGACACUGGAGAGA